GGGGGAGGAUUGGAAAUGAAUCCAAUCAACAAAUCUUACGAACAAGGGCUGAAUCUCAGCGGAUCGUAGCAGCAAGGCCACUCUGCCGCUUACAAUACCCCGUUCGAGCUAAGUCGYCUGCAUAGGAUUUACCCCAAUGACGAAUGAAAUUACCAUCCUUGGCGCCCACGCAAGUGUUGUGAACCUACGCGGGGGAACCAACGUGUAUGCUCUUGCACUCGGACAAGCCGAGCGUAUUCUUAGGCGGGUGACAUCAUUGGGAAAAGUGACCUCGCACCUAGCGUGCCUUCU
rnacentral:lncRNA from 1 species